GAGCGUGAGGUACCUGACAUGAAACUGUCCGCACUGUCCGUUUCUAAACUUCAAGCGUGCAAAGUGUUGCAAUAAAACCACAUUGCUCUGAUUCAGGAGGAAAAGAUUGGAAAAGCGCGCCUAAUAUAAACGACGGCGGCUCGUAAGGGACGCGCGCGCUCUAAACUGUCCCAGAACCGCAAUCAAACGAAUGUAGGGGCCGUUCACAUAUCGCGUCUUUCGUGCGCUCAAGUUCGUUAUUUCAAAAGUAGACGAGCGGCAGGCGCGUCCGAGCCGCAUCAAAAACAUUUCAACUUUUCAGAAUGCUGCAAGCGCACCGCGGGUCAAGUGACAAGAAGCAACCAAUCAGCUUCAUCCUUUCCUGUAGCAACACUGAAAGCUCAGCCAAGAUGAAGGAACAGCUUAGCUGUAUAUGGAUAGCCAUUUUAGAUAAAUUCAAUAACAGAGCUACUGCAAGCGACUUUUAGUCAAAUCCAUUUAUCCUUUGCUGAAAUUUCCGCUUCUUCAUGGAGAGCGCAGGCCAUGCUGCUUAGCAACGGGAGACGCCUUUUGGAGCGCAAUGCACUUAGCGUUUUCCACGCGUUUUUAGGCGCGACAUGUGAACGGCCCCUUAAGGUCAGAUAACAAACCUGAGUGAGGGAUCACACAACUGACUGUGGAUGGAAGAAAUGCAGCUUUGCCAAGAUCCUCAUCCCAAAAUCAGGAGGUGCUGAACUGGCCACAGCGGAGAUGAAUGGAUAAAGAAAUGUGGCUUAUGUUAAGGACCCAAUUUCAUUGUUCAGACUUUUCUCCCCUGAACUGCGGCCUCUCCUGUUGCUCAUCUCAGGGAAGCAGCAGGUCUAGAGCUGCAGAUUCUGAGAAAAUUAGGCUUUUGUUUAAACAGAAUGGGGUUGGCGCAGUUGCUCGGAGGCAUAAAUGUAACCACAAACCACAUAAUGAUACAGCAUGACUUGCAAUGAAAGCCAUCGCUAUAAAUUCAUUUAAAGAGUAGCUGACAUGAUUUUGUCAUUUUUGGAUCCUCCAGAUAUCUCUGGAUCAAAUUGCAAUUUUGUAAACAGCAUUUAUUUGUCUUAGUGUGUGAUCCUCUGGCUGUGAUUUGUUUGCCCAUGUUCGUGAUUCGAGGCUUGAAUUUCAGAAGAACACUUAGACUGUAGAAAUCCAAUCUAACUCUGUGAUUAAAGCAUAUUUUAACUUCCCUG
ensembl:lncRNA